ACCAAAUAUUCCAAAUUCUCCAUAUUCAGACUUGCACUGAGGUAUCCUGCCGCUAGGAAUGCUACAUGCCAGCUUGUCAAGUCCCCUGAAAUAUUGCAGAGCUUAUGAUGCUUUUGCUGUGGAUUAUUGAUUGGACACCGCGGUCGGCACAGCAUUGGUGAUUCUGCUCCUGCCUUCCCUUCCAGCUGCCUGCAGACAUGCCGCUGAAUGCAAUCCUGAUGGCUGAGGCCUAAAGGGAAGAGCCGCCCUCUCUCCAGAAGACGACGAGGACUUGGUUGACACGUGGCAACAGGAAAACAGAGACACGUGGUUCACUAUUUAUGUUACAGAUUAGCUGCUGCAAAUGUUUCAAGCUGUGUAUCUGUGUCCUGCUCUGAGAGAGAAGCAGAGAAAUGCUGUGCAUUUUGGUUAUGAUCUGGGAAGUAGCCUGUACACUCUGGCUCUGGGAGGUAAACCGCGUUUGUUAAGAAUAACUUGGAUCUGGCCUCUAAUGUCUGCUUAAAAGAAAAGGGAAAUCCAAACACAGGUUCUUACAAAUACAGGACAGCAUAUCAUAAACAAACUAUUCACCAUUAGGAUAAAAAGGCAAAUGGCAGUGUGGAUCCAGUCUCUGAUUAUAACUAGAGGACACACACGUUUUACUUAUGGAUAAAGUUUAAAAAAAGCCAUGGUCAGUUCUGAAAAAGGAUUUAGAGGAAGAACGGAAAACAAUUAUUUCACAAAAUCACGUGAAUCUGGUUACCAGAGUCCCCGCAAAAUGCUUAAGCAAAAGGACCUCACAACUCGCAUUUACUGGGUUGUUUCAAACAUCUGUACAUUUGAAAUAUACUUCUGAUUUGUUAAAUCAAAUGUCUCAAAAAUCUUGAAAUAGCAGGCUGUGUAAAAAGAAGCGAUAAAAGUCAGCAAUAUUAUCACGCUCUUAGAAAUUAAUGCAUCCAUUAAAGAAGUACAGAACUUGGAAAGCCUUCGGUCCAGAUGGCCAUUUCAUUAGGUGUAAAUUCAGCUUCCUUUCCCCUCCAUCUCAAAAGGCAGUUCUGCAAAAUCUGAAGAGGAAGAGAACCACCACAGUUCUGCUGAAAGGUUGAAGGGUGCGACGUUGAAAAUAGCUGUUCCUUUUCCGUGCAGUCUGACAACAAACAAAGCAGCUCGCUGUGGAAGGAUCUACAAAACACGUGGAUCAGCCGGCCACAUUUCUUGGGUAGGUGUAGACAGACUGCAGCGAUAGCUGUGGGUCAGCUGCUGCACCACCAUCCUGCACCAGACUGGGGAAAAGCAUGUGUCUGUGAAACUAAAACAACUAAGGAUAAGAAGUGACAAAAAUGUAGCUCUUGAUUCUGAAAUAUGAAGUCUAUUUAAACACCCUUAUUACCAAUACAAGAAAGACACUAGUGAAGCAAUAAGGUACCCAAGAAUUUUUGAUGCACUAUAAAAAAUUGGAUUAUAUGCGACUAAAAUGACAGAAUUUUAAUUUCUUACCUAAUGCAAGUACAGAAAUAUUUUCUCCCGCUAACAUGCCCUAAAAGUAGAGUUGCACGCACAUACUUCAGCUGCCUCUGACUGUGCUUCCUGAGCUUCCUUUCCUUUCAUUUGUGUACAUGGAAUAAGUUUCUUUAUAGUUUGUGGUACUGAAAGUUAUGCAACAGGGGAUUUUAAUUUUGUCAUCCAUUGGGGCUUCAACCUACUCACUGACUCAUGGGAAGAAUACGAGGAUUUUUAAUGAUCUCUUCUUCAGAAAGAAUCACUUGCUGAAGUAAAAUUCGCUACAAGUCUGUAGAAACAAUUGUCCAUCUGUUGCCUCGAGAUGUGGAAGCAAACAAGAAGCAAGGGAGCAGAAUAAAUUGUUCUGUGUGGAGGGUUUCCAGCCCACCCAGUGCAGGACUGUGCCCAGAGGCGGCUCCCGGUGCCCUCGGCAAGUGGAGGCAGAGCCGAGGCACGGGCGUGAGCCUCUGUCACACCUGGGGGCACCUGGAAAGUAGCAGAGGACCAGUGUCACAGUGAAGAGCUGCUGUUCACUAAAACAUGCAUGGUGGGGUUAGUUCAGUCUUCUUUGAAAGCUGAUUUUUUCUGAAAGAGCAGCACCAAAAGCUGGAAGCAGUAACUCCAUUGUGAGGGCUCUGUUGCGUCUGUAACAAAGGCUCUGCUGUGCUCACACACCACAGCCUCCAAAGCUCAGGAUGUUUUCAGCCUAUUUACUGCUAUUCAUAGUGGGGUAAAUCUGGCAUGGCUGCUGGAACAUUGAUUAAGGUCAGUUUUAAUCACAUGGAUCCUUGAUACAAAAAUAUACUUUUUUUUUUUGAUGGUGGCAUGUGCAGCAGAGGAAAUUAACUACAACUCUGAACUUCCAGCGUGACCUUAAACAACAUCACUCUGCUCAGACUCUAGCCUGGCAAAUCACUGAGCAGCGGACGCGUGGAGGAGGCAGAAAGCCUGUUACAUCUCGAUAUUCAAACCAGCUCAGCUCCAGCCACCGUAUAAAUUAGAGCAACUAUUUAGGUCACUCUAUCUUAGAGCACUGAAAGCCCCAAAAACCUUCUGCACAAGGGCAAAAAGAGGAGGACAGAGGCACACGGGAACCUGGACAGGGGGUGUCUGCUAAGACAAGGAGCUGUACUUGCAAGGUGGGAGAGCGCGGCUUUGUCCGAGCUGAGAGCAGCUCUGCAGGAGGAGAAGCCUCCUUCACACGGUUCAGUGGCUUCCGCUGGAUUUUCACUUACAUCACGCACCCAGUGUUACAAAAUAGUAUUUGUGCUACAGUCAGAAACUACAAAGGUAGAGUCCUAACUAAAUGUUGGUCAGUAGGAUAAACGUCUUCCCCUUGUCGUACCUUCUGACCUCAAAUACACAAGCAUACACUUAAAAAGGUGCCCUGAAAGUUGCGUCUGGAGCACUCUUAAAUCACUAAUGCACAGAAUUAAAACACUGUUAAAGAGUUUUA